UGAGUAACACGUAUCCAACCUGCCGUCUACUCUUGGCCAGCCUUCUGAAAGGAAGAUUAAUCCAGGAUGGCAUCAUGAGUUCACAUGUCCGCAUGAUUAAAGGUAUUUUCCGGUAGACGAUGGGGAUGCGUUCCAUUAGAUAGUAGGCGGGGUAACGGCCCACCUAGUCAACGAUGGAUAGGGGUUCUGAGAGGAAGGUCCCCCACAUUGGAAUUGAGACACGGUCCAA
rnacentral:rRNA from 1 species